AAGGCCUGAUUGGGAUAACAGUGCCUCUGAUAUCCUUGGGUUAUUGAAUGGUUGGUGCCGUGGGAUAGAGGCUUUACAUAUAUAAGUGAGAAAUCAGUGCAGAUUUGAGGGUUAAUUUAGGUUGGGUUACUUUCUUCAUUAAUGUGCUUUUCUUAAAGAGAUAUAGCCUGACACAAGAGAAAUCAAUUGGUGUCAUAUAUUUUACAUUUAGUAGACUCCGGGGUACAUUCCUGAUGAUUCUCAUCUUAAUGAGUCCAUGCAGCUCUCAUUAAUACUAACAGCAGCAACCCAGAGAUGCAUACAUACCUGGAAAGGAGCAAAUGCCUUUAAAAUCAAGGCAGUAAUAAAGAAAAGAGUUGGCACUCAGAUGGAGUUACUCCAAUGUGACCUGCUAAUGUGGGUUUUAAUUGGCUCUGAAGCCUUGGCAAGUACUCUCCUUUGACGGUACAUAUGUUCCCAUAUUUACUUUUCAGUUCCCUUUUGUGCAGAAGGCACAUUUAGCCUUGCUUGCUUGGUGGCAUAGCAACUUUCACAUGCAAUAAUUACAAAUAUCUACAGAACACUUUCUCUUAGCAAGGGUAAAUUAUCUUGUGGGCAUGGCGAGCUUAGAACUAGAACUGCUCAGAGUCUCUCCAAAAAGAGUCUGUACAGAGCAGUCUAUGAACCUGGACCCUGAUACAGUAAAGCUUUAAACCUCAGAUCCUUAAAGGUUAGUUGGCACCUAACUCACAGACAUGAGUGGGAGUUAGGUUCCUAAAUACUUUAGAGGAUCUCAGCAUUUAUCUAAGUCCUUGUUUCCUGAACAGAGAUAGGAUCGAACACAUACUUAAAGUCUGGUUAGCCACCUUUGAUGAGUUGGGGCCUUAUUGAAAAUGCUUGUGUAACUAUAUAGCUAUAUUCUGCCUUGACUUAUGCCUAGUUGAAUCUCAUUGGUUUCAGAGAGUCUGAUGUGAGGGUAGGGCAAGAAACAUAGGACUUCCAGUGUUAUAAAAAAUAUGCAGAAUAAAUGUUUCAAAUAUUAAUGUCUAUACAAUACGAAUUGCUGUUACAGAUAUCAUCAGAAACAUCAUCAGGUACUGACCACUACAGAUUAGAUGGAAAAAUGGCUGGAUCAGGAAUAACAAGCCCAUGUCCAUUUAACAGUUCAUCCUAAGCGCUAUCUUUCUCUAGGAGUGGCGGAGAAUAGGAAUCUGCCCCCCAGGGAUCUGGAAGGCUGAAUCCUACUUAUAGUUAUGAAAGCAAGUUGUUUUCAGCCAAAUAGCAUCUUUUGUGGUAAGGAAAGAUUUCACUAUAAUUGCUCAGAGGCUGGAUGGAUUUUUACUUGAUGUACUUAUAUAUUUUAGAAAUAUUUGGCAGAAGGCAGGAUAUAUGAGGUGUACUUUACAGACUACCUGAAUCAGAGAUGCAUAAGCUUUCAUGAGCUCAAGAGUUCAAUUAAUCAGUAACUCUAUUUUCUGCUUGACUUCAGACUAAUGCAGUGAAAUACUUUUCUCUUUAGAAAUGGGUAUCACAUGUAUCACCAUGGUGAACUGGGUCUUACAUGGAAAAACUAAAACAGGCAAAUUAUGUAGACUGAUCAUAAUAGGUUGCAUUAUUCAACACAACAUAGCUACUUGCAGUGGCAAAAGCACAUAGAGAACAUCAUUUUUCCUACUCCAAAACUCAAGGCAUCUACCACCAGCGGAACUAAAUGAGAUGCUACAUUAGCUCUGAGGAAUAUGGGUUUUUUGACACAUACCUAAGAAGUUUAAUUGCAUCUAGAAAAGGGCAGAGGUAGACACAGAAACACACACACACACUUUGUAGUCGCAUAAAUCAGUUGCUGUUGCUACCUAAUAAAAUGCAGCAACUUGAUUCCCUGGAAUAACAUUUGAAAAAAACUAAAAAAGCAAAAACAAAUUAAACCCUAAGAAAAUAGGCUCUUUGCGAUAUAAAACCUGUCGAAGUCAGGCAUAAUUUGGAAGACCAGGAAGCUGAGGGAAUUGAAAAGAAGAUUCUCAGCUGGGGGAACCACUCCUGGAGACCCCAGGUACAAGAACUGGGGCAAAAGCCCCUUAGAAGAUAUUAAUUGCUGCACUGCAUUUUAAACAGGCUUAAGAUGCAGCAAAAGACAUAGGUUGUAUCAUAUUAAUGCACAGGCUAGGCUCAAAGUAACUGAAACCCUGCAUAGAUGGAGACUUAAUACUGCCAGUUUCUGCAUGCUGUAAGAAUAAAAUGGUAAAGUUUCAAAAACAUUGAUACUUUUAGUGCAGCGAUAAGGCUGCGAGUUUCACUGUUAUUAGUGCACGCUGCUGCUUGGGACAGAUAAAAAUUCAGAUGCCUGAAUUACACUGAUUACAGUCGCUGCUCAGGCUUUUUAUCCACUACUUUCAUCUCCUGAUUCCUUAGGAUAAGGCACUCUGCAGUUUACUUCUAAUAAUGUCAGGCAGUAGCUCAUUUGCAGAUGAGCAUGCAAAGGACAGGACCAUUUAGUGACUGCUUUGCAGGCCCCAAACCCAGCUAAGGAGGUGCUUUACAGUUUAAUUGGAUGUAACCCUGGAGUGACUGAUAGGCUUAGGAAAGGACAUAUUCCUCCACAUGCCACCUCAGGUUUCUGAUGACUUUGCAGGGUUGAUAAUAGACCUUGGCUAAUUGGCUGGCUGCCAGCUGAACCAAUGGAAAGCAGAGCCUGCCAACUUGUCCUUUUGCAAAUGAAGGGACAUCCAGGAAAAAUUUCACAUUUGCAACCGUAGAUAGCAAAAAAACUGGACAGGCCCCAAGAAGAAAAGUGGGAAGAAGCAAGUGUGAGCUCCCAAAUUUUUAUACAGAACUUGAUUCCUUCUGUUCAAAUUUAGAGGCAUUUGGAUAUGGGCCCAAUCUCUCAGUGUUGUAGCACUUAGGCCCAAAAGCCAAUGAGAGACUUAAUAACCCGUGGGACCAGGUGUCCCAGUCCAUGAUUGUCCCAGUAAAUAAAGCAACAUAUACACAGCAGACCAAAUUCAUGUCUUUAUAUCAAUUAGAUCUUGUAUUUCUUCCAUAGGCCCCUUCAUUGGUGCCAGCACAGAUGGUAUACAUGGGACUUUUCAAUUUAGGCUGGUGGACAUAAGCAAACUCUAUGGUACCGUCUGCUUCUCUAGUUCCCAGACUAAUCACCGCCUUUGCUCUCUAGUGUCACCUUUCUUGUCUUGGCUUGGACUAAACAGUACAGAAAGGAUUGCUAAAUACACCACUCUAUACAGAUGGUUCCAAAAACUUUCUGCAGCCUAUGUUCCAAGUCCUGCCGAGACCAGGACCCACAGCGGAGAAGGAAUGCCAACAGUGCAGGAUCCUAUGGGCUCCACAGGAGUUGUAUGAGGCAGCUGGAAGCAGGAAGAGGAAGUGAUGAGCAACCCUGCAGAGUCCUGCUGCUGUAAAUCUGAUUGCAAAUCCCAGAGACCUUUGGGGGCAGCAGAAAGAGGAAGUGAACACACAGCCAGAGAUCUGUGCUCUAACACCCCCCAGCUUCUGGCCUGAGCCACUGCGAGCAAGUGGCUGCAUUUCCUGAAUCAAAGGGCCAGCAAUCAGGAAGUUCAGAAGGGAAAGCAGCUCUGCUCAUAAGAUUCAAAUGGCGCAUGGUGAAUGGUUUAUUCUUGGAAUUUGUCCUCUCUCUCUAUUCAAAAGAUA